UACGUAGGGGCCAAGCGUUGUCCGGAUUUAUUGGGCGUAAAGAGCUCGUAGGCGGUUCGGCAAGUCGAAUGUGAAAUCUCCACGCUCAACGUGGAGGGGUCAUUCGAUACUGCCGUGACUUGAGUACGGUAGGGGAGUGUGGAAUUCCCGGUGUAGCGGUGAAAUGCACAGAGAUCGGGAGGAACACCCGUAGCGAAGGCGGCUCUCUGGGACGGUACUGACGCUGAGACGCGAAAGCGUGGGGAGCGAACAGG
rnacentral:rRNA from 1 species